rnacentral:lncRNA from 1 species
UCCAGACCGAGGCACCUCCAUAUGAGCAUCAAACAAAAUCUCUUCACUGUUUCUUCUUUAGGACUCCCGUUGCAAGGAGCAACUGUAAUAUUGUGGGACUAACAUGGAUGUAACUUUAAAAAAAAAAAAUCAGGAUUAUUAGUAAUGAUUCUAGUUCUUUCUCCCCACCUUCUCCUUCCUUUCUCUCCCUGUUUAUUUCUCUUUUCCCCCGCUCUCUUCUCGUAUAUUUCCCUCCAUUUUUUUUUCAUUACUCAACUUGUUCCCCCAGAAUGUAGUAUUCUAGGAUCCUAUUAGUCUGCUUUUCAUAUACUGUACUUCAAGUUUAGGAAAUGUGCACUGAGUAUACUAAAAGUAUAUGCAGGUUUAAUUUUACAUCAAGGCCUCUUACAUAACAUUUCUCUAUUUUUAAAAAUAUAAUUGCAAUAACUUCAGUCUUUUUACAUUCUUCUGCUGCAUCCAUAUAAUGCUCCACUGCUGUUGAGUGUCCUUUAACUGUGGACCAAAGGCAAUCCCUGCAGUGUUUAUAAAACAAUUUCAAGACCAUUCAGGCCACACAAUAUCAGAAUGCAAUUUUGUAGGAUUACAAAAAGCCAUUAAUAUGCCAGUCAAGACUACAGUUAAAACUACUCUUGCACUGCAACAGUGCAUAUGACCUUUAUGUGAUUGUACAGUAUCAAAAGUUUUUUC